AGCAGCCGCGGUAAUUCCAGCUCCAAUAGCGUAUAUUAAAGUUGUUGCAGUUAAAAGCUCGUAGUUGAAUUUCAGGCCUGGCUGGAUGGUCCGCCUUCCGGGUGAGCACUGUCUGUGGUCGGGUCCUACCUUCUGGCGAAGCGUCACGGCCUUAACCGGCCCGUGGCGGGGAACCAGGACUUUUACUGUGAAAAAUUAGAGUGUUCAAAGCAGGCAAUUUCGCUUGGAUACAUUAGCAUGGAAUAAUGGAAUAGGACAAUGGUUCUAUUUGUUGGUUUCUAGGACUGUUGUAAUGAUUAAUAGGGAUAGUUGGGGGCAUUAGUAUUCAAUUGUCAGAGGUGAAAAUUCUUGGAUUUAUUGAAGACUAACUACUGCGAAAGCAUUUGCCAAGGAUGUUUUCAUUAAUCAAGAACGAAGUUAGGGGAUCGAAGACGAUCAGAUACCGUCGUAGUCUUAACCACAAACUAUGCCGACUAGGAAUCGGGCGAUGUUGACAAAAUGACGCGCUCGGCACCUCAUG
rnacentral:rRNA from 1 species